rnacentral:rRNA from 1 species
GAACGUGCCCUUCAGUUCGGGAUAACCCAGGGAAACUUGGGCUAAUACCGGAUACGUGCGAGAGCAGAAAGAUUUAUCGCUGAAGGAUCGGCCCGCGUCUGAUUAGCUAGUUGGUGAGGUAAUGGCUCACCAAGGCGACGAUCAGUAGCUGGUCUGAGAGGAUGAUCAGCCACAUUGGGACUGAGACACGGCCCAAACUCCUACGGGAGGCAGCAGUGGGGAAUAUUGGACAAUGGGCGCAAGCCUGAUCCAGCCAUGCCGCGUGAGUGAUGAAGGCCUUAGGGUUGUAAAGCUCUUUCGUCCGGGACGAUAAUGACGGUACCGGAAGAAGAAGCCCCGGCUAACUUCGUGCCAGCAGCCGCGGUGAUACGAAGGGGGCUAGCGUUGUUCGGAAUCACUGGGCGUAAAGGGCGCGUAGGCGGCUUUGUAAGUCGGGGGUGAAAGCCUGUGGCUCAACCACAGAAUUGCCUUCGAUACUGCGAGGCUUGAGACCGGAAGAGGUUAGUGGAACUGCGAGUGUAGAGGUGAAAUUCGUAGAUAUUCGCAAGAACACCAGUGGCGAAGGCGGCUGACUGGUCCGGAUCUGACGCUGAGGCGCG